CCUACGGGUGACAGCAGUGAGGAAUAUUGGUCAAUGGCCGGAAGGCUGAACCAGCCAAGCAGCGUGAAGGACGAAGGUGCCAAGCAUUGUAAACUUCUUUUGUCAAGGGACAAAAUCAAGCUCGAAAGCCUGACCGCGGGUACUUGAAGAAAAAGCAUCGGCUAACUCCGUGCCAGCAGCCGCGGUAAUACGGAGGAUGCGAGCGUUAUCCGGAUUUAUUGGGUUUAAAGGGUGCGUAGGCGGGCUGUUAAGUCAGCGGUGAAAGCCCGGGGCUCAACCCCCGCAGGGCAGUUGAAACUGGCUGCCUUGAGAUGGCUAGAGGUAGGCGGAAUGCGCAGUGUAGCGGUGAAAUGCUUAGAUAUUGCGAAGAACUCCGAUUGCGAAGGCAGCAUACCGGCGGCGAUCUGACGCUGAGGCACGAAAGCGUGGGUAUCGAACAGGAUUAGAUACCCCAGUAGUC
rnacentral:rRNA from 1 species